GGUUAAGCGACUAAGCGUACACGGUGGAUGCCCUGGCAGUCAGAGGCGAUGAAGGRCGUGCUAAUCUGCGAUAAGCGCCGGUAAGGUGAUAUGAACCGUUAUAACCGGCGAUWYCCGAAUGGGGAAACCCAGUGUGACUCGUCACACUAUCAUUAACUGAAUCCAUAGGUUAAUGAGGCGAACCGGGGGAACUGAAACAUCUAAGUACCCCGAGGAAAAGAAAUCAACCGAGAUUCCCCCAGUAGCGGCGAGCGAACGGGGAGGAGCCCAGAGCCUGAAUCAGCAURUGUGUUAGUGGAAGCGUCUGGAAAGGCGCGCGAUACAGGGUGACAGCCCCGUACACAAAAGCGCAUGUGCUGUGAGCUCGAUGAGUAGGGCGGGACACGUGGUAUCCUGGGUGGGGUGACUGCGUACCUUUUGUAUAAUGGGUCAGCGACUUAUAUUCUGUAGCAAGGUUAACCGWAUAGGGGAGCCGKAGGGAAACCGAGUCUUAAYYGGGCGUUAAGUUGCAGGGUAUAGACCCGAAACCCGGUGAUCUAGCCAUGGGCAGGUUGAAGGUUGGGUAACACUAACUGGAGGACCGAACCGACUAAUGUUGAAAAAUUAGCGGAUGACCUGUGGCUGGGGGUGAAAGGCCAAUCAAACCGGGAGAUAGCUGGUUCUCCCCGAAAGCUAUUUAGGUAGCGCCUCGUGAAUUCAUCUCCGGGGGUAGAGCACUGUUUCGGCUAGGGGGCCAUCCCGGCUUACCAACCCGAUGCAAACUGCGAAUACCGGAGAAUGUUAUCACGGGAGACACACGGCGGGUGCUAACGUCCGUCGUGAAGAGGGAAACAACCCAGACCGCCAGCUAAGGUCCCAAAGUCAUGGUUAAGUGGGAAACGAUGUGGGAAGGCCCAGACAGCCAGGAUGUUGGCUUAGAAGCAGCCAUCAUUUAAAGAAAGCGUAAUAGCUCACUGGUCGAGUCGGCCUGCGCGGAAGAUGUAACGGGGCUAAACCAUGCACCGAAGCUGCGGCAGCGACRCUGUGUGUUGUUGGGUAGGGGAGCGUUCUGUAAGCCUGUGAAGGUGKSYYGUGAGGSWUGCUGGAGGUAUCAGAAGUGCGAAUGCUGACAUAAGUAACGAUAAAGCGGGUGAAAAGCCCGCUCGCCGGAAGACCAAGGGUUCCUGUCCAACGUUAAUCGGGGCAGGGUGAGUCGACCCCUAAGGCGAGGCCGAAAGGCGUAGUCGAUGGGAAACGGGUUAAUAUUCCCGUACUUGGUGUUACUGCGAAGGGGGGACGGAGAAGGCUAUGUUGGCCGGGCGACGGUUGUCCCGGUUUAAGCGKGUAGGUGUGUGUUCCAGGUAAAUCCGGUUCACUUUAACACUGAGGCGUGACGACGAGGCACUACGGUGCUGAAGCAACAAAUGCCCUGCUUCCAGGAAAAGCCUCUAAGCAUCAGGUAACAYSAAAUCGUACCCCAAACCGACACAGGUGGUCAGGUAGAGAAUACCAAGGCGCUUGAGAGAACUCGGGUGAAGGAACUAGGCAAAAUGGUGCCGUAACUUCGGGAGAAGGCACGCUGACAYGUAGGUGAAGUGAUUUACUCAYGGAGCUGAAGUCAGUCGAAGAUACCAGCUGGCUGCAACUGUUUAUUAAAAACACAGCACUGUGCAAACACGAAAGUGGACGUAUACGGUGUGACGCCUGCCCGGUGCCGGAAGGUUAAUUGAUGGGGUCAGCGCAAGCGAAGCUCCUGAUCGAAGCCCCGGUAAACGGCGGCCGUAACUAUAACGGUCCUAAGGUAGCGAAAUUCCUUGUCGGGUAAGUUCCGACCUGCACGAAUGGCGUAAUGAUGGCCAGGCUGUCUCCACCCGAGACUCAGUGAAAUUGAACUCGCUGUGAAGAUGCAGUGUACCCGCGGCAAGACGGAAAGACCCCGUGAACCUUUACUAUAGCUUGACACUGAACAUUGAGCCUUGAUGUGUAGGAUAGGUGGGAGGCUUUGAAGUGUGGACGCCAGUCUGCAUGGAGCCGACCUUGAAAUACCACCCUUUAAUGUUUGAUGUUCUAACGUGGACCCGUWAYCCGGGUUGCGGACAGUGUCUGGUGGGUAGUUUGACUGGGGCGGUCUCCUCCUAAAGAGUAACGGAGGAGCACGAAGGUUGGCUAAUCCUGGUCGGACAUCAGGAGGUUAGUGCAAUGGCAUAAGCCAGCUUGACUGCGAGCGUGACGGCGCGAGCAGGUGCGAAAGCAGGUCAUAGUGAUCCGGUGGUUCUGAAUGGAAGGGCCAUCGCUCAACGGAUAAAAGGUACUCCGGGGAUAACAGGCUGAUACCGCCCAAGAGUUCAUAUCGACGGCGGUGUUUGGCACCUCGAUGUCGGCUCAUCACAUCCUGGGGCUGAAGUAGGUCCCAAGGGUAUGGCUGUUCGCCAUUUAAAGUGGUACGCGAGCUGGGUUUAGAACGUCGUGAGACAGUUCGGUCCCUAUCUGCCGUGGGCGCUGGAGAACUGAGGGGGGCUGCUCCUAGUACGAGAGGACCGGAGUGGACGCAUCACUGGUGUUCGGGUUGUCAUGCCAAUGGCACUGCCCGGUAGCUAAAUGCGGAAGAGAUAAGUGCUGAAAGCAUCUAAGCACGAAACUUGCCCCGAGAUGAGUUCUCCCUGAGACUU
rnacentral:rRNA from 1 species